rnacentral:rRNA from 1 species
UACAGAGGUCUCAAGCGUUGUUCGGAUUCAUUGGGCGUAAAGGGCGCGUAGGCGGCGGGGUAAGUCGGGUGUGAAAUCUCCGAGCUUAACUCGGAAAGGUCAACUGAUACUGUGCGGCUAGAGUGCAGAAGGGGCAACUGGAAUUCUUGGUGUAGCGGUGAAAUGCGUAGAUAUCAAGAGGAACACCUGCGGCGAAGGCGGGUUGCUGGGCUGACACUGACGCUGAGGCGCGAAAGCUAGGGGAGCGAACGGG